UUACUGAUCAAUUUAUCACUCUGGAAUUGGAAUGAUACCGAGAAGAUUAGCAUGGCCCCUGUGCAAGGAUGACAUGCAAAUUCAUGAGGGGUCCCAUACUUUU
rnacentral:snRNA from 1 species